AGAAAAGCUGUGUGCGACAGAGGGCA
rnacentral:misc_RNA from 1 species